CUCUCUCUCUUGGCAUCCCCUUGUUGGAGCUUUUAGAGAGGUGGGCGACAAUAUUAUUUUGGUGUCAAUUGGUUAGCACCAGGUUGUUGUUUGGUUUCAUCUUCUUCCUUUCAAAUUGUUGGGAGUUAGUUACAACUACUUCUUGAUUGUUAUUCUUCUUGAUUAGUUGAGGGAUCAAAAAAGAUUCUUCAUUUCUUUAAGAAUCAAGAAAGAAAGAUCAAAAGGGUUCACAAUUUCAAGCCUAUCCAGACUUGGUUCAAUCCUAUUCAGACUUUUGGU
rnacentral:lncRNA from 1 species